rnacentral:rRNA from 1 species
UAGCGGAGGAAAAGAAACUAACAAGGAUUCCCCUAGUAACGGCGAGUGAAGCGGGAUGAGCUCAAAUUUAAAAUCUGGCGGCCUCAGGUCGUCCGAGUUGUAGUCUAGAGAAUCGUUUUCCGCGUUGGCCUGUGUACAAGUCCCUUGGAACAGGGCGUCAUAGAGGGUGAGAAUCCCGUCCUUGACACAGACUACCAAUGCUUUGUGAUGCGAUCUCGAAGAGUCGAGUUGUUUGGGAAUGCAGCUCAAAAUGGGUGGUAAAUUCCAUCUAAAGCUAAAUAUUGGCGAGAGACCGAUAGCGAACAAGUACCGUGAGGGAAAGAUGAAAAGCACUUUGGAAAGAGAGUUAAACAGUACGUGAAAUUGUUAAAAGGGAAACGAUUGAAGUCAGUCAUGCUUUCCGAGACUCAGCCGAUUCUGUCGGUGUACUUCUCGGUUGGCAGGCCAGCAUCAGUUUCGAUCUGUGGAAAAGGUUGGAGGGAACGUGUCAUCCUCGGAUGUGUUAUAGCCCUUCUUCGAAUACAUAGAGCGGGACUGAGGAACGCAGCGCGCCUUUUAUUAGGUUGGCCCUCGGGUACAUACGCGCUUAGGAUGCUGGCAUAAUGGCUUUAAACGACCCGUCUUGAAACACGGACCA